rnacentral:tRNA from 1 species
UCCCUAGUGGCUGAGAUAGUAAAGAGUCUGCCUGCAAUGCAGAAAACCCAGGUUCGAUCCCUGGGUUGGGAA